rnacentral:lncRNA from 1 species
CGGUUCCUGAAGAACCAGAGGUGUCCGAAAAUAAUGAGAUCUCAAUAAAUUAUAUGAUAUCUCAUAAAUUAUGGGAACGGAAUAAUAUUGUUAUAGACAAUAUUUUCGCCUUUAACAUGGCUCUUGAUAUUAUGCAAAAUGAGGAUCCUGAACCACAGUCUGUUAAUGACUGUCGAAAUAGAAAUGAUUGGCCAAAAUGGAAAGAAGCCAUACAGGCAGAAUUGAAUUCUUUGGAGAAACGAAAAGUGUUUGGACUAGUAGUUCGAACACCUGAAAAUGUAAUCCCUGUUGGAUACAAAUGGGUUUUUGUACGAAAGAGAAAUGAGAAUAAUGAAAUUACAAGAUACAAAGCCCGACUAGUGGCUCAAGGUUUCUCCCAAAGACCGGGAAUUGAUUAUGAGGAAACAUAUUCUCCCGUAAUGGAUACCAUCACUUUUAGGUUCUUAAUUAGUUUGACCGUGUCACAAGGGCUCGAUAUGCGCCUUAUGGAUGUAGUAACUGCCUACCUAUAUGGUUCACUUGACAGUGACAUAUAUAUGAAAGUCCCUGAAGGAUUUAAGGUGCCAGGAAUAAAUGAUACAUGUCCGAGAACUAUGUUCUCAAUUAAAUUGCAAAAAUCAUUAUAUGGAUUGAAACAAUCCGGACGCAUGUGGUAUAAUCGCCUUAGCGAAUAUUUGUUGAAAGAGGGUUAUAAAAAUGACGAUAUCUGCCCAUGUGUUUUCAUAAAGAAAACAAAUAUUGGAUUUGCAAUUGUGGCAGUUUAUGUUGAUGAUUUAAAUUUAAUUGGAACUCCUGAAGAGCUCAACAAAACUGCAGAUUAUUUGAGAAAUGAAUUUGAGAUGAAAGAUUUGGGGAAAACCAAAUUUUGUCUUGGAUUACAAAUUGAACAUUUUCCAGAGGGAUUAUUUGUUCAUCAAUCUAAUUAUACAAAAAAAAAGUCUUGAAACGAUUUUAUAUGGAUAAUGCACAUCCAUUGUCAUCACCUAUGGUUGUUCGAUCACUUGAUAUGAAAAAAUAUCCAUUUCGUCCACUUGAAGAUGGAGAAAAGAUUCUUGGUCCUGAAAUACCAUACCUUAGUGCAAUUGGAGUAUUAACUUAUAUUGCAAAUUGCACUCGUCUUGACAUAGCUUUUUUAGUAAAUCUCCUUGCUAGUUAUAGCUCUACACCAACUCAAAGGCAUUGGAAUGGUGUUAAACAUAUUUUUCAUUACCUAUAAAUAUAGGACUUUAAUUUUCAAUAAUAUACUCAAAAAAAAGUUUAUUGAGUUUUCUUUAUUCUCUUUAAGUUUUCUCUAUUCUCUUUUCCUCUCAUUUUAUAACAAUCAUUUUUUUUUUCAAGUUUCUAGCUAGUCUACAUUUUUUAGUCUUCUACUCUUUCCUUUGACUUUUCCAAAGUGGUUUUCUAAACUUUCCAAGAAUAAAUAUUCAAAUUUUUCGGCCAACUGUUGAAAAUUUGGACCAAUGGAAGUGAUUUGUAUUUCAAAUACAGGGAAAAACUCACGCCUUAAUACAAUUCAGUUACUUACAAGUAUUUAUUCAUUAAUCAAACAAUAACAAUACUUAAAAGUACAAAGCAUAAUUAAAUAAUUGCCAUGUUCCGUAUAUAACUAAUACUUUCCAAUUGCCAAACAUAUCAAGAUUUUGAAUUUUAGCAACAAGGAAGCCUGUCAAACCUUAUUACUCCUACCUGCCCAUCUUUGAAUUGCAAAUUUGCUAUAUUCCAUUAAAAUUAUGUUUAUGAAAAAUGAAAUUAAAAAAGAACAAAUAUAAAAACAGGAAAAAUUAAAAUUACCAAAAUAAAUGAAAAAUAAAAAAUGAAAGACUUGUUUCCUCAAAUGGAAAACAGAAUAAUUUCCGCUCAUCAAAAUCCAUUAUUCAUCAAAUCUAACAUACAAGUUCAGGGAUAAUUUGCACAAACUAAUAUAAAAACAAAUUCUACAUUUUAUGAGGCAUUGUGAAAAAUAGGAAAUUUUUUUAAAAAAUUGACUAAGGUAAAAGCGAACAAAUAAAAAAAACAUAUUUAACUUAAAAUUACAACCAUCCUAAUAAAUAAUUUCAAUCACUUUACAUGAUACUUAAGAGUUAAAGUUUGCAAAUGAAUUUUUCGUUAGUUUUACUUAGGGAUGAUCAACGAAACAGUCGAAAUGAACUGAAAACGCUUUUUUAAAAGUUGGUUUGGAUCCACAUGAAUCUUUCAACUUUUUGGUUUUGAACUGAAAAGCGGUUUGGUUUAGCUUUCAAUUUUCGUGAACCGUUUCAAAUCGCCAAAUCACUUAAAAAAAAUGUAAAAAUUAAUUAAUUUAAAUUUUAUUCCACCCAAUUAAAACUGAACAGGUCUCAAAAUUCUUACCUCAUAACAAUUCCUUAAAAUAAUUUCAUCUCCGCCCAAAAUCCCUUUUUCCCCGCAUCAACACCAGAAUCUGAAUUUUCUGCCUAAGGUAAUAGAAUUGCCACAUUGUUUAUGUUAAUUAUGUGAAUUGAAUUUAAAUUCUUGAGCAUCAUCAUUAGCGUUUAAUCCAAAUGAAUAAAGUUGCAGAAAACUGGGGUUUUUUCCGCAGCGGUAAGGCCCACUAAUUUGUAUUUAAGCAGGUCAAAUAAUACAUUUUGCUUUUUAAAUAUUUUGGCCUUAUACUGCAAGUUGAUAAUGAUGAAUCUCUUUUUAAUUAGAAUAAUUAGUUAACUUGUUAAUCAAAUAAUUAAUUAUCGGACAUAUUUGAAUUAUUUUCUAUUUAGACAAUUUAUGACAAGGAAGGUUGUGGCAAGCAGGUUCGUAUAACUAUAUAGACUAGCUAACAAUUAGACAGCUUUUGCCUGCCUGAUGGCUAGUUAAAAAAGAACCCUGCUUGUCAACAUUAAGAGGAACAGCUCUCUCACAUGAGAGAGUCCCACGAUCAAAGUGAUAUUGGAAGUUACCAUUUUAAGUGAUAUCUCUUAAAGUUAGUGCUAUACAAGUAGAAUUUCCUUAAAAAAAUUGUUAAAGUAUCUAGAAUUAGUGGCGCAUAUAUCAUGUUUUUUUUAGUAAUGUGGGCUGAUAUAUCAUCUUUAAAGUUAAAAUAUAAAUAAAUAAACAUUUUGUUUUUAAACAACUUAAAAAUUUUAAAAGUAGGACUGAGAGGUAACAGCGAGGAGACGAGGGACAUGGUCCUCACGGGAUCCCAAACCUAUCCGACCUUUUAUCUUUUAUUAUUUUAUACUUUAAAAUUUAUAUCAAAUUUCUUGAAAAAAUAAUAAACGUGAUGAUAAAUGAACAUAUUUUAGUCCUCACCUCGCCACAGUCUUGGAUCUCGAAAAUGCCCAACAGAGUGGGGACGGAGGGCCCCACCUCAUUGCAAUCCCUAAUUAAAAGUAGUAGUUCAAGU